rnacentral:rRNA from 1 species
UACGUAGGGUGCGAGCGUUGUCCGGAAUUACUGGGCGUAAAGAGCUCGUAGGUGGUUUGUCGCGUUGUUCGUGAAAACUCACAGCUCAACUGUGGGCGUGCGGGCGAUACGGGCAGACUGGAGUACUGCAGGGGAGACUGGAAUUCCUGGUGUAGCGGUGAAAUGCGCAGAUAUCAGGAGGAACACCGGUGGCGAAGGCGGGUCUCUGGGCAGUAACUGACGCUGAGGAGCGAAAGCGUGGGGAGCGAACAGG